GGGCGGGCUCUGUGCGGCGGGGCGCCGUGAACCAUGUCAGGCGGGGAACCGAGCAGCAUUAAGCGGAGUUGCUCCGUGCGACGCAGUUAAGUCUGUUCGUC
rfam:Clostridium sp. W14A NODE_7, whole genome shotgun sequence.